CACACACACACACACUACACUUUACACUGAAGACACAUCACUGCACUUUGUUGAUGCUACAGUUCUACUCUCUGAAUUACAGGUUUUUCAGGUUCAGUUGCAGGAAUUGUGGUCGGAGUACUCGUUGUGUGUGUAGCAUUAGGAGCUGGAGCAGGAUUCUUCUACUUUAGAAGACUAAAGGUAAAUAUUAAUAUUUACAAUAAUUCUGCUGUUCAUUUAUUAUGUGAUGUUUCUUCUAAUGAUUAUUUCUUUUGAACUCAGAGAAAAAAGAACAAACACAAAACGGACCAUCCAGAGACGAUAAAACUCUGUGGUUGUGGACUCUCAGGGACUCACUGGGAAGACGUGGUCUCAGAUCUGAAGUCAGACCCCUCACUUCUGAGAGAACUGGAUCUGAGUGACAACUACCUGCUGGAUUCAGGAGUGAAGCUGCUGUGUUCUGGACUGGAGAGUCCAAACUGUCGACUGGAGACUCUGAGAUGGGAGGGGUCUUUGUUGAGCUGAGUGUGAAGAGGACAGUGUGUGUGGACGGAGGCUGAGCUGUGUCCUGAGGAUCCAGAGGCUGAAGCAGCAGCAGCUUGUGUGUAGAGCGGCCUGGACUGGGCUCCUGUUGCUGGGAGGCAGAGUGG